rfam:Candidatus Riesia pediculicola TSDA, complete genome.
UCUGGCAACAAUAACGCGAUGGAACCACCUGAAAGAUUUAUCCAUUCCGAACUCAGAAGUGAAACUUCGUGGUGCCGAUGGUAGUGUAUACUUUAUUUAUGCGAGAGUAGGGAGUUGCUGGGU